CGUUGGUCCCCGUUCGCCUAGAAAAAAAGAUCCGCUCUUCGUCUUCCUGACCUGGACUGCUGCCCGCUGCUGCGACCUACGCCUUGAUGGCCAUCAAGGCCACGAAUGCUGAGCGACCUGCCUCCUCGCCACAAAUGCUCCUAAAAAUAGCCGAUGCAGCCCACCAUCAUCAUUAUUGCCGGCAAAUACACAAGAAACUGUUGCGAUGAACUCAGACGUCACCUCCAUCCUCACGUUUAAAUAGCUACCCGUCAACAACCAGCCUGCUCGUGACUCCAUUGCUGGAACCAGCCUCCAGCGAUGCAAGCGACUCUGUUCUCCACUCUAGAUUUCUUUCUCCAGUUCAUUUUUUUUUACUAUCCCCUUCCUCAUGUUUUUCAAUCUGUUAGGUUGUGUGCCGGCUCCAAACCCGCUCGACGUUUUGCCUCCCCCGCGAUUUGGUUGGAUUUUUCUUGGAUUGUUCCUGCUACUCACUCAAUCCCACCCUGAUUUAAUUGGAUUUUGCGUACUGGUCGCUCAAUCAAGGAGGAAGAAGCUGUCAUCAUGUCUCAGCUUAUGAACGCUGGACAUGCUGCUUCCAUUGUUUGCAAAGAUGGAUACUCUUGAAAGUUCUGAAAAUCCUGUGGUCCAUCAUGGUAGACAAUCCGUCUCAUGCAGUCGUGGACUCGUGGAUGCCGACACCGUCGUGAGCAGCCAAGGAAUAGAGGUUAGUUAGGAUCAUAUGUCCCUUUAAUUUUUUUAUUAGUGUAUAGACAUACAUGUAGAUUUAUUUAGAGAACUUGAACCAACAAACAAAGAAAGGUACCAAAAGUAAAAAAAAUAUCAGCGCACGAUGCAUCUUAUCACAAAUGCAAUUUUUACAUAGCAUGGCGAAAAAGAUAUAUGAAUCUUCGAGCUGGAGAACUUCAAAUUUAGAAUGUCAGAAGGCAUAAGCAAAAGUAUGUACCCUUCCUCAUAUCACAUGUCAAAUAUUACUUUCACGUUUACAUGUUUAUCCUCAAACAACAUGGCUGACAACAAUGUUGCACAGUCAUCUAAGAAAGGCAAGAGGAUCAACACCCAGGACAUCACUGACCACUCAUGGAAACAACCAAUAGCUCCAUUCCUACCUAAAAUUAGUUUUGUCGCUUACAUAAAGAUUUACUGAUUACUAGGUUGAUUUCCUUCAAUUGUAAUCCAGAUGGAGACAGAAAGUUGCAUCCUAUGUAUUUUAGCCAUUGUGCUAGCUGAUGCUACUUCUGCAAUAUUGUCACUGUUUCUCAGAUGAUUCACAGUUGUAUUCGGUUCUGAGGAGUUCUCUAUCAAUUUUCCUUCAUAACAAUCAUUCUGAAGCAGGACUAACAACUUUAGGGUCGUAUGGCCAUCGAUCCACUGUACAUGAAGGCUGUUCUCAUUAUAUUUCCUUUUCCAAUGUACCAGUGUCAUCUCAUUACUUUACUUGAUUUCAUGUAAUAAAAAAAUUAUGGACUUUGAAAUCAUGUAGUGGCCUGUUAUUAUACAUUAAAGUUGAUAAACUGCUACUAUAUGAAUUCUUAUUCUAAGCACCACUAAAUAAAUCCAGCGCAACUCAACAAGGGAGCAUGAUCCAUCUGAGUUGUAUUUUACAUUGUCACUUUAAAAGAGCUUAUAAACUCUUGCGGUUAGAUUACUGUUGGUUCGAUCAGGUUGAGCAAACUGGGCAUCUAAUAUAGAAUGGAUCUGCUUUGUUAAUCAUGGUCGUAUGUGUUGGUGCAUUGGUGCCCUGUUCGACAUCCCUCUCUCUGGAAUUUUGAUUCAACUAAAUCA